rnacentral:rRNA from 1 species
UACGUAGGCAGCAAGCGUUGUUCGGAAUUACUGGGCGUAAAGAGUGUGUAGGCGGUGCUCCAAGUCUGGUGUGAAAUCUCCCGGCUUAACUGGGAGGGUGCAUUAGAAACUGGAAUGCUAGAGGAUGGAGAGGUAAGCGGAAUUCCUGGUGUAGCGGUGAAAUGCGUAGAUAUCAGGAGGAACACCUGUGGUGUAGACAGCUUACUGGACCAUUUCUGACGCUGAGACACGAAAGCGUGGGUAGCAAACAGG